ACCCGCUGAAUUUAAGCAUAUUAGUAAGCGGAGGAAAAGAAAACAACUGUGAUUCCUAUAGUAACUGCGAGUGAAGUAGGAAAAGCCCAAGUUGAAUCCUUUAUAUGUAGGUGUAAGGGAGUUGUGACGUAUGGGUGAUUGGUGGAAGCAAAGAUGGCGAACUAUACCGGAAUGUGAUGGCCAUAGAGGGUGAAAGCCCCGUAAGAUCAUCUUUGUGGAGUAGCUAAUCAUUGGAGAGUCAGGUAGUUUGGGAUUGCUACCUAAAGUGGGUGGUAGACUCCACCAAAGGCUAAAUAUCGUACGAAGCCGAUAGUAAACAAGUAGUGUGAACGAAAAUUGAAAACUACUCUGAAAAGAGUGUUAAAAGUAGGUGAAACCUCAAACAGGGAAGCGGAAGGGUUCACCGCAAUCUGUUGUCACACAGCAGAACGUUUCAGACAAUGUAUUUAGAGUAUAUUGUUUUAUUUUAAUGUGUAUGUAGCCAAAACCGAGAAGGUAUGAGGGAAUUUGACCAAGUCAAAAAAAAUUGACUGUUGAAUGACCCUGCCUGACGGAACAUAAAACGAAAAUGGGGUCCUUUCCGACCCGUCUUGAAACACGGACCAAGGAGGCUGAAGCUAAAGCAAGAUAGAGGGUUGAAAACCUUUCGAAUCUUAGUGAAAGCAAAAUGAAAGAUCCUAAUGUAAAAGUUGGGCGCAUUUCAGACCUCUCAAAUAUUUAAUUUGAGUGAGUUGCAGUUUUAGCUGCAGAACCCGAAAGAUGGUGAACUAUGCGUGCGUAGAUCGAAGCCAGUUGAAAGACUGGUGGAGGAUCAUACUGAUUUUGACGUGCAAAUCAAUCUUGAAAUGUGCGUAUAGGGGCGAAAGACUAAUCGAACCAUCUAGUAGCUGGUUCCCUCCGAAAUAUCCCUUAGGAUCGCAAUGUAAAAAUGUAGUUACGUCAGGUAGAGCUAAUGCGUAGAGGCAUUGGAGGCGUAAAGCUUUCGACCUAUUAGCAAACUACCAACUGGCGUUACAUGGUCAUGCUCGAUAAGAUGGCCAUGGGCAAGGAAUACACUACAUUGGUGGGCCACUCUGGUAAGCAGAACUGGCGAUGCGGGAUGAA
rnacentral:rRNA from 1 species